UUUGAUUGUUCUCAUUGAAGCUCUCAAGAAGUUGGGAGCAGACGUGGACCUGCCUCUGCUGAAGCAGUGCCAUCAGCCAGCAGAUGGGAAGGGCAGCAGUCAAAGCAGCUGAAGUGAGUUCUAAACAACAGUGAAGCCACCAUCUGAACUCAUCCUCUUCAGAAGGGAAAUGACAUUAACGUGGCUGUGUCCUGGGUGGUGUCCAAGUAAAAAUACCUCAUUCCUCAUCAGCAACGUGGCUCCCUGUGGAUGUACAACAGUCAGAUCCAUUUGCUUAUGUAGACAGGUAUGUCCUUCAUUGGGGCAAGGAAGUUUAUAUCAGCAGUGUCCUCUCACUGAUUUAGUGAAGAAAUUUGCUCAGUGGUUUUGGCAUUAGGACUGGAGGACACUGGAAGAUGGUCCAGAGUCUGGAGCACAUGGUGCGAGGAAAGGGUGAAGGAACCAGUUGUGUUGGUCUUGGAAAAGAGAAUGGAAAGGAGAAUCUAACUCAGCCUUCAACUAAAUAAUGAGGCAACAGGGAAGAUGAAGUAGGACCCUUCUCAGAUGUACACAACAGACACAAGCAGCAGCAGGAGAAGUUCCUACUGGGUAAUAUGGAGAGUGCUCAUCAAACUCUCACUGGAAAAUUUCCAGUCGUAAAAUAAUACAAUCAAAGUGAGAAUAAUCAGCUCUCAGAAGCAUCAGUCAGUACUGUGGUGAGGACAGAACAGUGCAGAUCAACUCCCUGAACAAUGGAAGCCAAUAUCUCGUCUUGGACACGUGCUGAAGUGCCCUUAUCUGCAACCAGCCUUGUGUGAAACUUCAGUGCUGCAGAGAGGAGCAUUAUGACUGCUUGGCAUAGAAACAAUAUUGAAUGAUUCAUGACAUGAG
rnacentral:lncRNA from 1 species